UACCUAGGAAUCUGCCUAGUUAGUGGGGGAUAACGUGUGGAAAACGCACGCUAAUACCGCAUACGUCCUACGGGAGAAAGCAGGGGAUCUUCGGACCUUGCGCUAAUAGAUGAGCCUAGGCCAGACUUAGCUAGUUGGUAGGGUAAAGGCCUACCAAGGCGACGAUCUGUAGCUGGUCUGAGAGGAUGGCCAGCCACACUGGAACUGAGACACGGUCCAGACUCCUACGGGAAGGCAGCAGUGGGGAAUUAUUGGACAAUGGGGGCAACCCUGAUCCAGCCAUGCCGCGUGUGUGAAGAAGGCCUCGGGUUGUAAAGCACUUUAAGCGAGGAGGAAGGUUUACUAGUUAAUACCUAGUAGAAUUGACGUUACUCGCAGAAUAAGCACCGGCUAACUCUGUG
rnacentral:rRNA from 1 species